UUUCAGUGUUACUGUGUGUGACCACAUUAAUUUAAUUUGUGACUGGCUAUUAAUUUGGUCAUAGAUAGUUAUAAUGAAAAUAUAGUUGGUUACACCCGAUCAUAAUAAACACAUAUUUGGUUACUGAGGGUCACCAUGAACAAAUCUAUAUACACCGAAGGCCAACACCAGAAAUCCAUGACCACUAACCACCAUCGCCUCGCCAAUGCACCACCACUGCCACGUUAAACUUAAGUCUACCUUCACUUCAAAUCCACAUCACCUUCACCAUCAACAUUACUUCCACAAGCACCAACCACCGACAUCACCGCACCACUACCAAUUGUCAAUUAACACAACCGCAGAUUCACGCCACCCACAGAUCCAACACCUACACUAAUCAAAUGUCGUGCUACCUCACCCAUUGCCGCUAGCACCACCACUCCUGUCAACACCACCACUACCACCACCUAACCAACAAUACCGCCACCACUAAAUUCAUAGCCACCAUGUCCUAGAACAACUCCACAUUCACUACCAGUUUUUCCCCACCAUCACAACUGUACUCACCUUUACCAUCACCAUACUCAUCCCCAACACCUAAAUUCCACCUCCGCCUUCAGUAUAGUCACCACCACCAAAAUCGGUUCGAGUCAGACUGAUUAAUCGGACCACCAGAAGCUGCAUCCUCGAUAUCCACUUUGUACUGAGUCCAAAAACUCUCUUGAGCCUUCUGGAAACACUUGAACCUCCUCUAAAAUCAAUGAUAAAGGCUCUUUUCUGGCAAUCGCGAACCAUUCAACCAAGAAUGUGAAUUAACUUGAGCCGAUUCGUGAGAAUCGUGCAGCUCCAGCUCCAAGAGGACUUUGGUAGUGUAGUUAGUACUCCAUCGGUGGCUUCAUAGAUUGCUCGUCGACGGAAUAUAGAAAGAGGGUAGGUUGGGCGGAGAGGGUGAUAUCGAGAGAGAAAAGAUGGGGGAGAGAAGAUAUGAUUAGAAAUGAAAUUGGGUUUUAAACGGAAAGGGCGUAGGUG
rnacentral:lncRNA from 1 species